AUUGAACGCUGGCGGCAGGCUUAACACAUGCAAGUCGAGCGGGGUGAUGGUGCUUGCACUAUCACUUAGCGGCGGACGGGUGAGUAAUGCUAGGAAUCUGCCUAUUAGUGGGGGACAACAUCUCGAAAGGGAUGCUAAUACCGCAUACGUCCUACGGGAGAAAGCAGGGGAUCACUUGUGACCUUGCGCUAAUAGAUGAGCCUAAGUCGGAUUAGCUAGUUGGUGGGGUAAAGGCCUACCAAGGCGACGAUCUGUAGCGGGUCUGAGAGGAUGAUCCGCCACACUGGGACUGAGACACGGCCCAGGCUCCUACGGGAGGCAGCAGUGGGGAAUAUUGGACAAUGGGGGGAACCCUGAUCCAGCCAUGCCGCGUGUGUGAAGAAGGCCUUAUGGUUGUAAAGCACUUUAAGCGAGGAGGAGGCUCUUUUGGUUAAUACCCAAGAUGAGUGGACGUUACUCGCAGAAUAAGCACCGGCUAACUCUGUGCCAGCAGCCGCAGUAAAAC
rnacentral:rRNA from 1 species